rnacentral:rRNA from 1 species
GUAGGGAAUAUUGGGCAAUGGUCGGAAGACUGACCCAGCCAUGCCGCGUGCAGGAAGACGGCCCUCUGGGUUGUAAACUGCUUUUAUCUGGGAAGAAAAAGGCCAUGCGUGGCAAAUUGCCGGUACCAGAUGAAUAAGCACCGGCUAACUCCGUGCCAGCAGCCGCGGUAAUACGGAGGGUGCGAGCGUUGUCCGGAUUUAUUGGGUUUAAAGGGUGCGUAGGCGGCUGAUUAAGUCAGCGGUGAAAGACUUCGGCUUAACCGGGGCAGUGACGUUGAUACUGGUUGGCUUGAGUGUCGGAGGGGUACAUGGAAUUGAUGGUGUAGCGGUGAAAUGCAUAGAUACCAUCAGGAACACCGAUAGCGAAGGCAUUGUACUGGCCGACAACUGACGCUGAUGCACGAAAGUGUGGGGAUCGAACAGGAUUAGAAACCCCAGUAGUCC